rnacentral:rRNA from 2 species
AACUUUCAACAACGGAUCUCUUGGUUCUGGCAUCGAUGAAGAACGCAGCGAAAUGCGAUAAUUAAUGUGAAUUGCAGAAUUUAGUGAAUCAUCGAAUCUUUGAACGCACAUUGCGCCCCUUGGUAUUCCGGGGGGCAUGCCUGUUCGAGCGUCA